CCGUUUUCUAAUGAUGCUAAACUAAUGUUUCAAGAGGAGAGGGCACUUGUGGUGUUUUAGGUCUGAUAACUGGAUAAGAGAAGUCACAUGCAGGGUCAGGUAGCAGUAAAAUGACAAAAUACAGAGGGAGUUUGCAAGGGAAGAGACGACGAGACUGUAGUAAUACUGAGAAAAAUCAGUAAUAUUUCACUCGCUUCCAUCUCUCAGUGAAAAUCUCUGUGGUAUUUGAGAUCCUGCUCGGGAUGCUUGGACUUAUAAAGAAAUUGAUGAAUGAAGUUUGAUAAUAGAGCAACUAAUCGCUCCUCUGAAGCUCUGUUUGGAUGUCACAGCGUUAGAAAUUUGAUUCUCAACAAGGGUUAUUUAUAGUUGGAGUGCUGUGACGUCGCAAGCGAGAUCUAAAGGAGCCGACGAUUUACACCACGGCCAAAACGGUUCUGUCGACACCGCGAAAUCGCUAACGAAAUAUCAAUUAACAUGAAGACGAGAGCGUAUCAAGGUGUUUGCAACGUGUUGUCAGGUAAAGGAAGUUGACACAUUAGUUUUUCGUUUCUUAACAUUAUUCCACGUGCAUCCAAUGGAUAAAAUCACGACUUAAAAAAAUGAUCGGGCUUGAUUUGGGACACUCAAUUAAAAAAACACUUAAUCAGCUCUCGAUUGUAAUCAAAUGCGUUCUUAUUAUAUAUUUUUAGUUGAAA